UAGGGAAUUUUCGUCAAUGGGCGCAAGCCUGAACGAGCAAUGCCGCGUGAGUGAGGAAGGUCUUCGGAUCGUAAAGCUCUGUUGCGGGGGGAAAAAGGAAGCAGAAAGGAAAUGGUCUGCUUUUGAUGGUACCCCGCCAGAAAGUCACGGCUAACUACGUGCC
rnacentral:rRNA from 1 species